AGCGGAUUUGCCAGGCUGUUUGGUGAAUAUUUCUCUGGAUCCUGGGCUGGGCCGCGAGUUGGGGCCAGACGCUAAGCCUGAAUGGAGAGGGCCUGCUUCGUGUGGGCCAGGCCGGCUUGAGUGAAGAAGAUGGGUCGAGCCCGGCCUUGAGGGUCGGAUGAGCCAGGCUCGUUCUGUAUAUCAGGUGUGUGGGCCUCUACGUCAUGGGCCUUGGGCCGUGAUCAAGCCCCUAGUCCGGGGUGAAGGAAUCCAGCGGUCAUCAAU
rnacentral:lncRNA from 1 species